rnacentral:rRNA from 1 species
GACGAACGCUGGCGGCGUGCUUAACACAUGCAAGUUGAACGGAAAGGCCCUGCUUGCAGGGUACUCGAGUGGCGAACGGGUGAGUAACACGUGGGUGAUCUGCCCUGCACUUCGGGAUAAGCCUGGGAAACUGGGUCUAAUACCGGAUAGGAGCCAUUUUUAGUGUGAUGGUUGGAAAGUUUUUUCGGUGUAGGAUGAGCUCGCGGCCUAUCAGCUUGUUGGUGGGGUAAUGGCCUACCAAGGCGGCGACGGGUAGCCGGCCUGAGAGGGUGGACGGCCACAUUGGGACUGAGAUACGGCCCAGACUCCUACGGGAGGCAGCAGUGGGGAAUAUUGCACAAUGGGCGCAAGCCUGAUGCAGCGACGCCGCGUGGGGGAUGACGGCCUUCGGGUUGUAAACUCCUUUCGCUAGGGACGAAGCUUUUUGUGACGGUACCUAGAUAAGAAGCACCGGCUAACUACGUG